rnacentral:misc_RNA from 1 species
GAUGAAGAACGUAGCGAAAUGCGAUACUUGGUGUGAAUUGCAGAAUCCCGUGAACCAUCGAGUCUUUGAACGCAAGUUGCGCCCGAAGCCAUUAGGCCGAGGGCACGCCUGCCUGGGCGUCACACGUCGUUGCCCCCCCAUCUACUCCUUCGGGAUUGCGGGGGGCGGAUGAUGGCCUCCCGUGCGCCUCGCCGCACGGUUGGCAUAAAUGCCAAGUCCUCGGCGACGCACGCCACGACAAUCGGUGGUUGCGAAACCUCGGUUGCCCGUCGUGUGCGGUCGUCGCGCAUCGAGGGCUCGAAAAAAUUGCCGGGUUCCGGCUCGGCUUUCAACGCGACCCCAGGUCAGGCGGGGUUACCCGCUGAAUUUAAGCAUAUCAAUAAGCGGAGGA